AUGCAUCUCUGACAGAUCAACAGAUCUGGAGCAGUUAGGUCUGCUGCUAAGGUUUCCACUGCAGAUGCAAGUAAAAGAAGGUCCUUGCGCUUUCUGUCUGCCUGGUUGUGGCAGCCAAGAUUAAAUGGGGGAAUACAAGA
rnacentral:snoRNA from 1 species